GUGGUUUGUCGCGUCGUCUGUGAAAUUCCGGGGCUUAACUCCGGGCGUGCAGGCGAUACGGGCAUAACUUGAGUACUGUAGGGGUAACUGGAAUUCCUGGUGUAGCGGUGAAAUGCGCAGAUAUCAGGAGGAACACCGAUGGCGAAGGCAGGUUACUGGGCAGUUACUGACGCUGAGGAGCGAAAGCAUGGGUAGCGAACAGGAUUAGAUACCCUGGUAGUCCAUGCCGUAAACGGUGGGCGCUAGGUGUGAGGGUCUUUUCACGACUUUCGUGCCGUAGCUAACGCAUUAAGCGCCCCGCCUGGGGAGUACGGCCGCAAGGCUAAAACUCAAAGGAAUUGACGGGGGCCCGCACAAGCGGGCGGAGCAUGUGGAUUAAUUCGAUGCAACGCGAAGAACCUUAACCCUGGGCUUGACAUACACCGGAUUGGGCUAGAGAUAGUCUUUCCCUUUGUGGCUGGUGUACAGGUGGUGCAUGGUUGUCGUCAGCUCGUGUCGUGAGAUGUUGGGUUAAGUCCCGCAACGAGCGCAACCCUUGUCUUAUGUUGCCAGCAUUUGGUUGGGGACUCAUGAGAGACUGCCGGGGUCAACUCGGAGGAAGGUGGGGAUGACGUCAAAUCAUCAUGCCCCUUAUGUCCAGGGCUUCACACAUGCUACAAUGGUCGGUACAACGCGCAGCGACACUGUGAGGUGGAGCGAAUCGCUGAAAGCCGGCCUUAGUUCGGAUUGGGGUCUGCAACUCGACCCCAUGAAGUCGGAGUCGCUAGUAAUCGCAGAUCAGCAAUGCUGC
rnacentral:rRNA from 1 species